CACCCCCCAUCCCCGUCGUUCCUCCCGUGGUCCACGAACCAUUUCCCAAAAUUUCCCCACUCGCGAACCCUAACUUCGACCAGCCUCUCGCCCCAGAUCCCCUCCCCCUACUCUCACCAGGAGCAGAACCCACCCGCUCGGACCGCUCCGCGUAAUCGCCAUGGCGGACGAGGAACCCGUUGAUCCCAAGAAGUAUCUUGAGGAGCGGUGCAAGCCACAGUGUGUAAAACCACUGUAUGAGUAUGAGAAAUGUAUCAAGAGAGUCGAGGCCGAUGAUACUGGGCACAAGCACUGCACUGGGCAAUAUUUUGACUACUGGUCAUGCAUCGAUAAAUGUGUAGCACCAAAGCUCUUUGAAAAGCUGAAAUGAUAUUGGGGCGCUACUUUCAGUGAGUGAGCCUGGUCAUUGGCCAGAACUUUGUUCAAGUUGAAAUAUUUGACGAGUCUGCAAAUUGUCCUGUGACUGUGUUUCGAUUUCAUGAACUUGUAAUAAGAGCAACUAUCUUGACACUGUUUGCAACCAUUGAUUUAUGUUUGGCUAAGCACUGAUGACAACUAUAACAAUUUGAUGUCUGUCGAUACAGUUCUGGUACUGAACAUUUUUCUCGUCGAGAUCAUAUCCAACACAAAUAGACAAGAUUUCAACAACACAUAGCUAAACUGUGCAGGCACCAUGUUAUGACCCAUGAAUUGGAGGUGAUUUCUGGCUAUAAAAAACAUUUGAG
rnacentral:rRNA from 1 species